GGCAUUUUGUUGCUAUUAUAAACUCUUUCAAACUGUUCUUCGUAGACUGGCUUUGAAUUGUGAUCUCAAAUUCCUCAGUAGCUAGGAUUACAGGUGUGAGCCACUAGCACCCCCACUAGAUUGUUGUUAAGUAAUUGGGUUUAAGUGCUGAUAAUUCUUAAACCAUGGUCAAACUUGGGCAAUUCUCAUGAUAUGAGAGAAUCUCCUAGCAAGUAGGGACAAGCUGUAGGAUGAUUAGGAAUUGCUUUAUUGAAAUCAAACAAGAACAUGGCAAAAAGCCGGUGAAAAUUCCAGAUGACAAACAAACAGCUGGCCUUCCUAGGCUUUUGAUUUAUACCUGAAUCUGCUUGGUUUUUUAAUGGGCUGCAUAGUACUGUUUGAGGACUGAGUGGGGUCUGCCUUGCCGUAUGGAGACCUUUUUCUAUGAAUGCUGGGCAUUAGCAUAUUUGAUGGUCCUUUGAUCCAGUUCCAAGUCCUAAACCAGAAAGAAAGGAUUAUAGCUAAAUACUCGUCAGUCAAAGAACAAGGAUUGCUGGGACCAGAUGUGCGAAAUGGUCCACAAAAGAGAACCAGAGUGUUCUCUGAAUACUGAUUGGAUCAUGUUUCCUGGGCUGAGGUGUGUCUCUGAGUUUACUGUAGCAACAGUGGUGUUGACGGCUGGGGCAUAUGCUUCUGGUGGAUGAGCAGCUAGAUUAUGUAUGAACUGCUCUCUGGGCAGAGCUGAAGACUGGAGCUGAUACCUUCACAUCCACUGGUGACUUUACAAGGAAACUUUGACGCCACUUGGUUAACAUUACAAACAUUUUGCCUCACUAGAAGGUUCUGGAUGUGAAGUGCUUGUUCCUUUCCAAGUUGAUUUUUAAGGCAGGAGGUAGAGACCAUGACAAACUUAAGCAACUAGAUCUGCUGUGGGUAGCUUUUCUAUUUGUUUUUGUUUUGUGUGCUGGAACUCAGACCCACAGCUUCAAGCAUUCCAAGCAUACUAGACAAUUGCUCUACCACGAAGCUGGUUGUAUAUUUUCAACAUUAGGUUAUUUGUCAAUUUCAUUGAUGAGGUUUUUUAAUUGAACCCUUUUAAAUUGAGUCCAAAUAGAAUGAGGAAGGGGGAAAGUGGAGAGAUUAUUCAGAUUCCAGUUGACAAAAUUAUUCAAGUUUUCUGAGCAUCAUUUUCUCCCGUCUGAGAAGUGAAGAUCAUGUGUGCAAGUGUAUGUAUGCAGUACUUGGCACACUGAUAAGAGAUGUGGCAAAUGCUUAAUGAAUGUUUGCUUUUGGCUCUCUUAAAGCAACAUACACAUAGCAGAUGCAGAUAAUUACAGGGCUUCCUUUCCAAGAUGCCAGAGGUAGGGGAGGGGUCACACCAUUGGGG